AAUUAUUUAUUUGAUGGUUUCUUACUACAUGGAUAACCGUAGUAAUUCUAGAGCUAAUACAUGCGUAAAGUCCCGACUCUCGCGGGGAGGGAUGUAUUUAUUAGAUUAAAAACCAAUGCGGCCUUUGGUCGGACUUGUGUUGAUUCAUAGUAACUUUUCGGAUCGCAGGGCUUCACGCCGGCGACAGUUCAUUCAAAUUUCUGCCCUAUCAACUUUCGACGGUAGUGUAGUGGACUACCGUGGCGUUAACGGGUAACGGAGAAUUAGGGUUCGAUUCCGGAGAGGGAGCCUGAGAAACGGCUACCACA
rnacentral:rRNA from 1 species